rnacentral:rRNA from 1 species
GUCGAACGGUCUUUUCGGAGAUAGUGGCGGACGGGUGAGUAACGCGUAAGAAUCUACCUUCAGGUUGGGGACAACCAGUGGAAACGGUGGCUAAUACCCAAUGUGCCGAGAGGUGAAAGGCUUGCUGCCUGAAGAAGAGCUUGCGUCUGAUUAGCUAGUUGGUGGGGUAAGAGCCUACCAAGGCGACGAUCAGUAGCUGGUCUGAGAGGAUGAUCAGCCACACUGGGACUGAGACACGGCCCAGACUCCUACGGGAGGCAGCAGUGGGGAAUUUUCCGCAAUGGGCGAAAGCCUGACGGAGCAAUACCGCGUGAGGGAGGAAGGCUCUUGGGUUGUAAACCUCUUUUCUCAGGGAAGAACAAAAUGACGGUACCUGAGGAAUAAGCAUCGGCUAACUCCGUGCCAGCAGCCGCGGUAAUACGGAGGAUGCAAGCGUUAUCCGGAAUGAUUGGGCGUAAAGGGUCCGCAGGUGGCAUUGUAAGUCUGCUGUUAAAGAGUUUGGCUCAACCAAAUAAAAGCAGUGGAAACUACAAAGCUAGAGUGUGGUCGGGGCAGAGGGAAUUCCUGGUGUAGCGGUGAAAUGCGUAGAUAUCAGGAAGAACACCGGUGGCGAAGGCGCUCUGCUAGGCCAAGACUGACACUGAGGGACGAAAGCUAGGGGAGCGAAUGGGAUUAGAUACCCCAGUAGUCCUAGCCGUAACGAUGGAUACUAGGCGUAGCUCGUAUCGAC